AGCUUUGUACAGUGGCAGUAUCGUAACCAAUGAGGUUUAUCCGAGGCGCGAUUAUUGCUAAUUGAAAACUUUUCCCAAUACCCCGCCAUGACGUAAAUAAUGAAUGAACGAAUGAAUGAAUGAAUGAAACAAAU